CAUCGUUGUCUCGUCAUCCAGGAAUGUGUCUAGUUGGUAAGCAUCAAGCUCCCUCUCAAUCAUCUACCACGAGAGUUCCUUUAAUUAUCGUUUUGUUUGAUAAUCAUGUUAAGAAUAUUGUCAAUGACGUGCUUAUCAAUUAUUUAUUGAGCUGUAUUAUGGAUUCUGGACCAGUUAACUGCACAUGUGUCCGGCUAACGUUAGCAUCAUUCUAGCUAGGUAGCUACAUCUGAUAGCCACGUGUUGGACUAUUUCCAAGCCAUCUUCUCCUGUAGACCAACUCUACUUUACAACGUCCAUCAAUGCAUGGGCCCUCUCCUGUGAUGUCUUUGCACUGGGCUCUGAAACCAUGUGGAUAACGUGCCUCUCUGGACUUGACAAUCCGGAGACUGAGGAGACUAGCUACAGGUGUUAGCCUAGCCUAGUGGCGCCUCAUGGCAUCUCACUAACACGCUGACCUUCUCCUUGUCUUGCAGGAAGUGGAUCAGGCCAUCAAGGAUCUCUGAGGUUAGUAUGGAUGUUUGGUUUUACGGGAGUAAGCUUAUAUUAUUAUUUUCUUAUGAUGUCUUUGCACUGGGCUCUGAAACUCUGUGGAUAGCGUGCCUCUCUGGACUUGACAAUCCAGAGACUGAGGAUAACAUGGAUGCAGUGACUUGGCCUUACGUACCUCAUGGAUGAUUAUUAACGUGCUUUUUCAUCGUCUUGCAGGACGUGUGACCUAGUGCCAUGAGCUGACUGUUAACAUCAAACAUCAGAUGCUGUAUCUUCCUCAAUGGCGCCAUCUAGUGAGUGAUCGCUGAAAGUACAUCCAAAUAAUAUCGCGUAUUUUGUUUAUCCAAAUAAUGCUAAUAUUUCUUUGAAUAAAACUAUCUUUGUAA